rnacentral:misc_RNA from 1 species
UCAAACUUGGUCAUUUAGAGGAAGUAAAAGUCGUAACAAGGUUUCCGUAGGUGAACCUGCGGAAGGAUCAUUACCGAACCGUCGACAGGAGUUGUCGCUGGUCCCCCGAUGGGGGCAUGUGCACAUCCUGUUUACAUAUCCACUAACACCUGUGCACCCCACUGUAGUUCUGUGGCCUGGGGGACUCCGUCCCUCCCACCAUGGUUCUACGUUUUUACACACACACACUGUGAUCGAGUCUCAUGGAAUGUAUGUCGCGUUUAACGCAAUCAAAUACAACUUUCAGCAACGGAUCUCUUGGCUCUCGCAUCGAUGAAGAACGCAGC